ACUCAAUAGAUACCCAGGUAGUCCACGCCGUAAACGAUGAGUGCUAAGUGUUAGAGGGUUUCCGCCCUUUAGUGCUGCAGCUAACGCAUUAAGCACUCCGCCUGGGGAGUACGGUCGCAAGACUGAAACUCAAAGGAAUUGACGGGGGCCCGCACAAGCGGUGGAGCAUGUGGUUUAAUUCGAAGCAACGCGAAGAACCUUACCAGGUCUUGACAUCCUCUGACAACUCUAGAGAUAGAGCGUUCCCCUUCGGGGGACAGAGUGACAGGUGGUGCAUGGUUGUCGUCAGCUCGUGUCGUGAGAUGUUGGGUUAAGUCCCGCAACGAGCGCAACCCUUGAUCUUAGUUGCCAGCAUUCAGUUGGGCACUCUAAGGUGACUGCCGGUGACAAACCGGAGGAAGGUGGGGAUGACGUCAAAUCAUCAUGCCCCUUAUGACCUGGGCUACACACGUGCUACAAUGGAUGGUACAAAGGGCUGCAAGACCGCGAGGUCAAGCCAAUCCCAU
rnacentral:rRNA from 1 species